CAGAUGUUCUUUCCCAGACAGUUACUCUGGACCAACCUGGAUCUGCAGUUGUGAAACCCUCUGAAACCCUGAAAAUCCCAUGUAAAGUCUCAGUGUCUAUUGCUAGUGAUUACUGGGCUUGGGUCAGACAGAAAGCAGGGUCAGCACUGGAAUAUAUUGGGUAUAUACAUGGUGGUGGAAGCAUUUAUUAUGCCCCCUCCUUUCAAGGAAAAGUAACUUUCACCAGAGACACAUCAAAAAAUGAACUUUACUUUGAAAUGCCAAAUAUGAGAAGUGACGAUUCUGGGACAUAUUACUGUGCGAGAGACACUGUGACAG